UACAAAAAGGCCAAAAUAUUUCUAAUGCCUUCAAAUCUAGUCUAGAUAUUAACUAUAAACAAAAAUAUUUGGUGGGUUCUCCUCACCACUCCUAACAAGGGUAUGUUGAUAAUUUAUAUGCAAAUCAUAAAAUAUGCAAAAUAUAAAUGUCAUAGAAGAUUGGAAUUUAGAAAUAUUAAUUGUGCAAUUAAUUUCUUUUUGGUCAAAUCAAGAGAAAUUGAGAUUUUUUUCUACCAAGGGUAUGUUGGUAAUUUACAUACAAAUCAGAAACA
rnacentral:lncRNA from 1 species